UUCCUAACCCUGUUCCUGCAGUACCCCCAACACUACACAGUUUUGUUGUAGCCCUUGACACACACCUCAUUCAACUCAUUGAGGGCUUGAUGAUUAGUUGACAAGUUGAAUGAGGUCUGCUUGUCCAGGGUUACAAUAAAAAUGUGUACUGUUGGGGGUACUGGAGGACCAGGGUUGGGACACACUGCUUUAGAGUGAUCAAUGUUUUUAGAAAUCAAUGAUUAUGACAUGAGAUAAUAACUGAACACAGGUCAAAGUGUGUGUUUUUGACCACCAACUGAAAGUUGCAAUAAUGAACUAUGACCUCAAGCUGCUCUCUCACUCUGAUGUGUGAGGGUGAUCACUAUAAUAAUAGGAAGUACAUCCACAGCCUAAUAUUACAUGUUCCUGUGUGUAUGCCCUAGCAUGGAAAUAUGGUCAGAGAGAGGGUGACGGACAAAGAUUUGGCGUUAGAGCAAAAGAGAUGAUACUAGAGCUCUCCAAAACCGGAGUAGAGUGUAGGGCAGGGCUAGGCAACGCUUGAAGGAUGUGGGAGGAGAUUAAGGUUGAUUGGCGUGAGCUGGACCUUGAUGAGGGGACGGCUGUUAACCUAAUCACUCUAUUUAACUCGGCUUAGCGCCUGUCGAUUCUAGCCUGUAAUUGAUUUCAUUCACAGUGGAAACCGUUCCUAAAACAAUUUUAAUUCCUCUUGUUCUACAACUUUGCAAUUACCUGGUUUGCCAUCGCACAGUAACAUGUCUUAAGGUGUGCGUUAUAGUCACUGUCAGUUGACAUUUUAUUUUAGGGACAGACAUUGUUUUUUAUUUUCUCCUCUCUCCCUGCAGGAUUGAUCUACCUCCGACGCACAAGCCUCCUCCUCCCUACACAGAGAGACCAUCAGUCAUCCCUCUGGUUGUCCACACACCACAGGUGGCCUCCCUUUCACAGGCUCACAGGGCUGUGCGGCAGUUUGAGAUGGCAGAGAGAACUGCCAGGCUCACACCCCGGGAACCCCGAAGCCCCUCCCACCAGCCUCUGUCCUAUCAGGAGUGGGUGUGUCACCAGAACGGGGCGGAUCGUAUCUACAUCAACCACCGGGAACACUAUGUGUGACGGACACGUCCUAAACCUUCUAUGGACCUGUCAAUCAAUCACUCACCCUGCCCCACCCAUCGCCAUGCAGGCUCACAGAUGCCAGCCUUUUCAAUGUGAAGAACCCAGGCAAAGAAAUAGUUUAUGACUUGACCAAGCCUUCAUAGAUGAGUCUACUCCACAUUUAACAUAAUUUGAGAGCAGCAGUUAUCACCUGUAAGAAGCAAGACUAAUGAGGCCGGAGCAUAAACUGCUGAGUUUCUCUGAGGAACGACAACCCAAACACCCCUCCACUCCCCUUCUCCGAACCACCGCACACACACCUGUUCUGUUCCCAACCACAUCAAUGAACAGAGGAUAACAGCAUAGGGAAGAGCAGGAAGACCGAUUUGGUACAGUACCACAAAGUAACUAUUUAAAAUGGAACACUAAGCUCUGCUGUGUGCUGUAUAGGAGUGGAAUCAUAUGAAAACACCAUACUAAGCUCUAUGUAUAGCAGUUGAAUGUGUUACUAUGUCACUGUGGCUGUGUGAUAAUCCUGUGUACAGUUAUGCUCUUUGAAUUAGUUAGAACUAAUACAUUUUUGCACUUGGAAUUGAAACAUAAAUCAUUCAUACAUCAGUGGAAAAAUCCGAUUUGUG
ensembl:lncRNA